GGCUGGCCUCGUAAAAAGCCUAAAAAACAUAAGUGCCAACGAAGAGUACGCACUCGCUGCUUAGUUAAGCAACGCCGGACUUUUUCUCAUUCCUGCUGGGGAAAAAAUCCGGACGCAAUGCAGGAUUGGGUUUUGCGGUUGCUUUAACGCAAAAUCUGAAAUUUCAAAGCUGGCUUUUGCUGUGCGCUAACCUUUAUGGGCGUUGUCAAAGGCGAGACCUUAAAUGCAAAGGAAACGCAUGUAUGAGCGAACGCAAACGGAAUUUUGGACAGGGGUUCAACUCCCCUCAUCUCCAUUU
rnacentral:tmRNA from 1 species